rnacentral:lncRNA from 1 species
AUGGCCUUGGAGCUAAAUAAAGGCAGGCCCGUCUUAGAGGGGAUCCCUGGGGGGAAAGAGACAAGCAUAGGUUCCUCCCAAGAUGCCACCCGCUUCAUUCAAGUGUCUGGCAGCACUGUGUUCCUGUUAGAGCCACCAGCACAAGCACCAGACGAUGCUGAUCCAGUGAGUACUCCAUCAAAGGCAUACUGUAGGCCUGGCAUGUCUUGUCUACUAGCUUCAAUAUGAAUCCGAUUAAAUGUGAUAGGGUGAAGGCCCCAGUGCAGCAGCAACAGCACAUGAUGGAGACGAUGAUGAGGAGGAGACCAUCUCUCUGGAUUCCAGAAGGCAUGAGGUAUCAUGUUAAGAUGUGAAGUAAGUUACUCUACAAUGGUGAGGAGUCCUCAUCAAAAUCAAAAAAUCUAAUUUCUUACAGGACCAGAUGCUAUACAGUGGGAAAACCAGCCUGGCAACAUAGUGCGUAUUAAUAAAAGGACACAACAUCCUGCCAAAUUCCAGCUGCGCUAAUGUAUUGUGUUCACAGAGCUCACAAGCUAUCAGAAAGUUGUAUGGCAACCACCUCCGGCGCCAAAUAGAACUGGCAGACAUAGACAUUCAGUACAAGAAGAAAAAGAUGGAAAAUCUUGCACUGGAGUUCGAAAUAAAAAAGAGGACAAUUAGGAAACUGGACCUUGAAAUAAAAAAACUUGAGAGGGAGGUGAGAUAUGCUAACUGUAACACAAAUGUAUAAUCAUUAUUUUCUUUCCUCCCCCAGCUCCAAGAAGAUGACACAGCUCAAAAUAAAAUAGGUAUAUCUCGU